UGCUGGUGGUGAAGCAGCCCCUCUCAGAGCUCUGGGCUUUGCCAGGGGUAAGAUGGGCG
rnacentral:snoRNA from 1 species